rnacentral:rRNA from 1 species
CCUACGGGGGGCAGCAGUCGAGAAUCUUUCACAAUGGGGGAAACCCUGAUGCUGCGACGCCGCGUGGGGGAAUGAAGGCCUCCGGAUUGUAAACUCCUGUCAUGUGGGAGCAAAUUAAAAAGAUAGUACCACAAGAGGAAGAGACGACUAACUCUGUGCCAGCAGCCGCGGUAAUACGGAGGUCUCAAGCGUUGUUCGGAAUGACUGGGUGUAAAGCGUGCGUAGGCUGUUUGGUAAGUCGUGUGUGAAAGGCGCCGGCUCAACCCGCGGACGGCACAUGAUACUGCGAGACUAGAGUAAUGGAGGGGGAACCGGAAUUCAUGGUGUAGCAGUGAAAUGCGUAGAUAUCGAGAGGAACACUCGUGGCGAAGGCGGGUGCCUGGACAUUAACUGACGCUGAGGCACGAAGGCGAGGGGAGCGAAAGGGAUUAGAUACCCCAGUAGUC